rnacentral:rRNA from 1 species
AGCGCAGGCGGUCUUUUAAGUCUAAUGUGAAAGCCUUCGGCUCAACCGAAGAAGUGCAUUGGAAACUGGGAGACUUGAGUGCAGAAGAGGACAGUGGAACUCCAUGUGUAGCGGUGAAAUGCGUAGAUAUAUGGAAGAACACCAGUGGCGAAGGCGGCUGUCUGGUCUGCAACUGACGCUGAGGCUCGAAAGCAUAGGUAGCGAACA